AGCAGCCGCGGUAAUUCCAGCUCCAAUAGCGUAUAUUAAAGUUGUUGCAGUUAAAAAGCUCGUAGUUGAAUUUCGGGGUCAAUAAGUUGGUCAUGCCAAUGGUAUGCACUGGCUUUAUUGAUUCCUACCUCUUGACGAACUGUGAUGCCAUUAAUUUGGUGUUGCAAGGAAUCAGGACUGUUACCUUGAAAAAAUUAGAGUGUUUAAAGCAAGCUUACGCUUGAAUACAUUAGCAUGGAAUAAUGAAAUAGGACGUUUGAUCCUAUUUUGUUGGUUUCUAGGAUCGACGUAAUGAUUAAUAGGGAUAGUUGGGGGCAUUAGUAUUCAAUUGUCAGAGGUGAAAUUCUUGGAUUUAUUGAAGACUAACUACUGCGAAAGCAUUUGCCAAGGAUGUUUUCAUUAAUCAAGAACGAAAGUUAGGGGAUCGAAGACGAUCAGAUACCGUCGUAGUCUUAACCAUAAACUAUGCCGACUAGGGAUCGGAUGAUGUUAAUUUUUAAUGGUCUCAUUCGCG
rnacentral:rRNA from 1 species